UAGCUCGGGGCAGAACGUUCUCCCUCGUCCUGAGGCGUUCGUGUCGUCGUCUCCUUGGCAGCGGGGGCUUCGCUGCCGGGCCGAGACCCAGGGCCAGCCCUGUGUGGUACGAUGCCUUCUCGCGGUGCUGAGUGGCGGUGGCUGGGCACGUCUCCCUGUCAGCCCCAUGGUCGGUCGUGUGCUGCCUUCAGCGUGACAGGUUCAGCGCUGUUACAAGGUGGCCUGUGUGUCAGGUGAUUCUGUCCGCUGCAGACCAGGGGAGGGGCCAUCAGACGGUCACUCAGAGACGUCCACACUCUUGAUUAGCUGGAAAUGCCUCAGGGAGCAGACCAGCAGCUUGCGUCUUCACUGGAGAAGUUGUUCACUUCAAAGCAACAUUUACUGUAAGCUGUCUGCAUCCCAGAGCAGGACUGAGAUCGAGGGCCCAGCCUGCUUCCUCCUUGGCCAACCACUCAUUCUCAUCAAGCGAAUCAACUCUCAGGCCAUCGUGCUGAGUGAAAUAAACCAGGUCCGGAAAGACGCACAAGCGUGACCUCACUGUCAUGUGGAAACCAAGAGGCCGAGCCCAGGGAAGCAGGGAGAGGAGAGGCCACCAGGGACUGCGAAGCGCAGAGGAGGCGUGGCCAGGUACAGAGGCACCGUGAGGUGGGAGGAAUGGGUCCUGGGUUCCGCGGGGUGACUUCAGCGGCCAGUAAUGCACACUGCAGAAUGGCCGGAAGAGAGGAUUUGAGCGCUCCCCUCACCAGGAAGUGGUAUGUGUCUGAGGUGAUGGAUCUGCUAAUUACCUUGCUGUGAUCAUCACACCACAUGCACACCCCCUGAAACGCCUCCUUGUGCUCUGUAAAUGUGUAGGAGUUUUUUGUUUUUUGUUUUUGUUUUUUAUUUGACAGGCAGAGUGGACAGUGAGAGAGAGACAGAGAGAAAGGUCUUCCUUUGCCGUUGGUUCACCUUCCGAUGGCCGCCGCGGUAGGCAUGCUGCGGCCGGCGCACCGCGCCGAUCCGAUGGCAGGAGCCAGGUGCUUCUCCUGGUCUCCCAUGGGGUGCAGGGCCCAAGCACUUGGGCCAUCCUCCACUGCACUCCUUGGCCACAGCAGAGAGCUGGCCUGGAAGAGGGGCAACCGGGACAGGAUCGGUGCCCCGACCGGGACUAGAACCCGGUGUGCCGGCACCGCAAGGCGGAGGAUUAGCCUAGUGAGCCGCGGCGCCGGCCAAAAUGUGUAGGAGUUUUACAAUUUCUGAUGUAUGGAUAGAAAUGCAGGGAGAAAGAAGAAUCUUCUGUCUACUGGUUCACUCAACAAAUGCACACAGCAGCCGGGUCUGGGCCAGGCUGAAGCCAGGAGCCUGGAACUCCGUCCAGGUCUCCCACAUAGGUGGCAGGGACCCAGACACUCGAGCCAUCGCCUGCUGCCUCCUGGGGUCCACGUUAACAGGAAGCUGGAUCAGAAGUGGAGCAAAGGAGACCAGCAUUUGUGGUAUAGUGGGUUCAGCCACUGCCUGUGCUGCCGGGCUGGCCUGGUCCCAGGGGCUCUGCUUCUGAUCCAGCUCCCUCCUCAUGUGCCUAGGAAGGCAGAGGAAGAUGGUCCACAUGUGGGAGACCUGCGUGGAGUUCCUGGCUCCUGGCUUCUGCCUGGUGCAGCCCCUGGCAUCACAGCCAUUUGGCGAGUGAACCAGUGGAUAGAAGAUCUCUUUCCCUCUCUCUCUCUGUUACUCUGCCUUUCAAAUAAAAUAAACCUUAACAAAGAAACGAAAAGAAGCGCAGCUGGGUCUGGUACCCAAGCACUUCAGUAUGGGCUGUGAGCAUUCAGACGUGUAACUUCACUGCUGUACCAGAAGCCUGCCCCAGAAUGUCAGACGUCAACCAGAAUAAAAUGAAAACGGGUUUCAGUGGUGAACCAAUUGUGGCUGUGCCUGUGAGAG